rnacentral:rRNA from 1 species
CACCCCAGUUGGGCGGGACUACGUGAUUUUAA